UACACGCUGUGACUAGCAUAUCAAUAAGCGGAGGAAAAGAAACUAACAAGGAUUCCCCUAGUAACGGCGAGUGAAGCGGGAAGAGCUCAAAUUUGAAAUCUUAAAGGGUUUCCCUUUACGAAUUGUAGUUUAAAGAAGUGUUUUCUGUUGAGGUUUUGGUAAAAGUUCUUUGGAAUAGGACAUCAUAGAGGGUGAGAAUCCCGUAUUUGACCUUUACUUUCAACUUUGUGAUACACUUUCAAAGAGUCGGAUUGUUUGGGAAUGCAGUCCAAAAUGGGUGGUAAAUUUCAUCUAAAGCUAAAUAUUGGCGAGAGACCGAUAGCGAACAAGUACCGUGAGGGAAAGAUGAAAAGAACUUUGAAAAGAGAGUUAAACAGUACGUGAAAUUGUCAAAAGGGAAGCGUUUGACACCAGUGUUGUUUUUCUGAAAAUCAAUUAAAGAACUGUUUAUGCUAAGUUGUUUAGACUUUAUCAGCUAAUCUGCUUAGUUUUGAGCUUUUCUUUAAUGCACUUUUCAGUUAACAAGUCAACAUCAAUUUCUUUUGCUGUAAAAAAGCUUGAGGAAGGUGGCUUGAGAUUCGUCUUAAGUGUUUAUAGCCUCUUGCCUAUGCAGUCGGAGAGAUUGAGGUCUGCAGCGUAGAUCCUUCGGGGCUAAAUGCAUUUGUGCUAAGUUAUAGCAUUUUAUAGACAACUUGUUGACUAUGAUUUGUCUUGUAGCUUACUCGCUUAUGUUAUUUUACCUACGCUUAGGAUGUUGAGUCGUAGAGCACGCAG
rnacentral:rRNA from 1 species